UACGUAGGGUGCAAGCGUUUGUCCGGAAUUAUUGGGCGUAAAGAGCUCGUAGGCGGUGGCUUAAGCGUGCGGUGAAAGCUCGGGGCUCAACCCCGAGUCGGCCGUGCGAACUGGGCUCACUGGAGCAUAGUAGAGGCAGGUGGAAUUCCGGGUGUAGCGGUGGAAUGCGUAGAGAUCCGGAAGAACACCGGUGGCGAAGGCGGCCUGCUGGGCUAUGGCUGACACUGAGGCGCGGACAGCGUGGGGAGCAAACAGG
rnacentral:rRNA from 1 species